GACGAACGCUGGCGGCGUGCCUAAUACAUGCAAGUAGAACGCUGAAGGAGGAGCUUGCUUCUCUGGAUGAGUUGCGAACGGGUGAGUAACGCGUAGGUAACCUGCCUGGUAGCGGGGGAUAACUAUUGGAAACGAUAGCUAAUACCGCAUAAUAGUAGAUGUUGCAUGACAUUUGCUUAAAAGGUGCAAUUGCAUCACUACCAGAUGGACCUGCGUUGUAUUAGCUAGUUGGUGGGGUAACGGCUCACCAAGGCGACGAUACAUAGCCGACCUGAGAGGGUGAUCGGCCACACUGGGACUGAGACACGGCCCAGACUCCUACGGGAGGCAGCAGUAGGGAAUCUUCGGCAAUGGACGGAAGUCUGACCGAGCAACGCCGCGUGAGUGAAGAAGGUUUUUGGAUCGUAAAGCUCUGUUGUAAGAGAAGAACGAGUGUGAGAGUGGAAAGUUCACACUGUGACGGUAUCUUACCAGAAAGGGACGGCUAACUACGUG
rnacentral:rRNA from 1 species